GAUGAACGCUAGCUACAGGCUUAACACAUGCAAGUCGAGGGGAAACGGCAUCGAAAGCUUGCUUUUGAUGGGCGUCGACCGGCGCACGGGUGAGUAACGCGUAUCCAACCUGCCCAUCACUUGGGAAUAACCUUGCGAAAGUAAGACUAAUGCCCAAUGACAUCCCACGAAGGCAUCCGAAUGGGAUUAAAGAUUUAUCGGUGAUGGAUGGGGAUGCGUCUGAUUAGCUUGUUGGCGGGGUGACGGCCCACCAAGGCAACGAUCAGUAGGGGUUCUGAGAGGAAGGUCCCCCACAUUGGAACUGAGACACGGUCCAAACUCCUACGGGAGGCAGCAGUGAGGAAUAUUGGUCAAUGGGCGAGAGCCUGAACCAGCCAAGUAGCGUGCAGGAUGACGGCCCUAUGGGUUGUAAGCUGCUUUUAUAAGGGAAUAAAGUGGGUCACGUGUGACUUUUUGCAUGUACCUUAUGAAUAAGGACCGGCUAAUUCCGUG
rnacentral:rRNA from 1 species